AGAGUUUGAUCCUGGCUCAGGAUGAACGCUAGCUACAGGCUUAACACAUGCAAGUCGAGGGGCAGCAUGGUCUUAGCUUGCUAAGGCUGAUGGCGACCGGCGCACGGGUGAGUAACACGUAUCCAACCUGCCGUCUACUCUUGGCCAGCCUUCUGAAAGGAAGAUUAAUCCAGGAUGGGAUCAUGAGUUCACAUGUCCGCAUGAUUAAAGGUAUUUUCCGGUAGACGAUGGGGAUGCGUUCCAUUAGAUAGUAGGCGGGGUAACGCCCACUAGUCAACGAUGGAUGGGGGUUCUGAGAGGAAGGUCCCCCANAUUGGAACUGAGACACGGUCCAAACUCCUACGGGAGCA
rnacentral:rRNA from 1 species